AUACGGAGGGGGUUAGCGUUAAUCGGAUUCAUUGGGCGUAAAGAGCGCGUAGGCGGGCAGGUAAGUCAGAUGUGAAAGACCGGGGCUCAACUCCGGGAACGCAUUUGAAACUACUUUUCUUGAGGAUAGGUGGGGAAAGCGGAAUUCCACGUGUAGCGGUGAAAUGCGUAGAUAUGUGGAAGAACACCAGUGGCGAAGGCGGCUUUCUAACUUAUUCCUGACGCUGAGGCGCGAAAGCUGGGGGAGCAAACAGGAUUAGAUACCCUGGUAGUCCCAGCCGUAAACGAUGUGUACUAGAUGUGGUUGGACUCAACCCUGACCUUGUCGUAGCUAACGCGUUAAGUACACCGCCUGAAUAGUACGCCCGCAAGGGUGAAACUCAAAAGAAUUGACGGGGCCCGCACAAGCAGUGGAGCAUGUGGUUUAAUUCGAUGCUACGCGAAGAACCUUACCUAGACUUGACAUGUAGUGGACAGCUCCGGAAACGGAGUCUUCCUUCGGGACCGCUACACAGGUGCUGCAU
rnacentral:rRNA from 1 species